UACGAAGGGAGCUAGCGUUGUUCGGAAUUACUGGGCGUAAAGGGCGCGUAGGCGGCUUCGUUAGUUGGGCGUGAAAUGCCUGGGCUUAACCCAGGAAUUGCGCUCAAUACUGUGAGGCUUGAGUGUGGGAGAGGAUAGUGGAAUUCCCAGUGUAGAGGUGAAAUUCGUAGAUAUUGGGAAGAACACCAGCGGCGAAGGCGGCUAUCUGGACCACAACUGACGCUGAGGCGCGAAAGCGUGGGGAGCAAACAGG
rnacentral:rRNA from 1 species